CGUGUAAGGAUGGAGGCGAAGACGAGUCCGAGGAGCAACGCCAUGUGGAGCAUAGAAGAAGCAACUCCAGCUGUGCCUUGCGCCGUUGCCGUCUUCCCUUGCCACAAGGCUGAUAUAUGAUCAAUAGUCUGAUCCCAAUCGGCGUAGCAAGUAACAAGAAGUAGCUGAAGAAAUCGUUUCCGCUUGCUGGUUUAUAUAGAUAUAGAGAGGAUCACAGAAAGCCGGGACCAACCAGCAUGGAUACGGUCUUCACUGGUCAGAGAUUGAUCGAUCGGUCAGCUGGCGCGUGUCAAUCCACGGCCCCGACAACAACCGGCCGAUCGAUCGAUGGUACAUUUGCACUAGCG
rnacentral:rRNA from 1 species